UGCAACAUAAGACAUCUUAAGGAUUUUUAUGUUGAUUAGAAAUUGACAUUUGGAUACACUUUGUGAAACAAAAUAUAUCAAUAAUGUAACUUGCUUCUUUUGAUAUUUUAAGGUAGAUACUAAAAUUCUAAAUAAUGUGGCUCAUAUUAUAUUUUUAUCAAGCAGCAAUGCUAUAGAUUACACUUUCAAACCAAGGCAGAAACACAUCUGAUGGGGAUUCUCCCCCUUAAUAGUAAGCUUUCUUCUGGUUUUUUUUUUUUUUUUGUCCUUUUCCUUUUUAUCGGUACUGGGGAUCGAACUCAUGACUGCCUGCUUGCAAGGCAGGUGCUUAUGCCGCUGACUAAAUCCCCAGCCCUGCUUUCUUCUGUUUGUAACAAGUAGAUUUCCGCUAGAGGAAGACUAUAAAAUGGUUUCUUUUUCACUUGUGGAAGUAUCACCUCUUCCUCACACUUGGGGCACAAGAUUCCUGGAGAAGAGAUGAACAAGUUGAGCUUAGAGUGUUUCUUCCAAAGACUCUGAGAAUCCAUGAAAAAAAUGAGCAGAAGAUAUAAAUGGGCUUUCACAGAAAUGCAGGAAACAACCUGUAUAUUAAAAAAUGCAACCAGGCAGGCAUGGUCGGUAUUCCUGUAAUCCCAGCACUCAGGAGGCUGAGGCAGGAGGAUCCUUGAGAAUGUGACAUCAGCCUGGGUUACAAAUGAGCUCAAGGUCAGCCUUAAAUGCAUAGCAAGAUUAUGUCUCAAAAAGAUAAAACAGUAAAUAAAAAAUAUGUCAUAAAUUAUAUGUCAUCUUUCAGGCACAAAUAUACCUGCCACUUAAAGGGAACCAAGUAGCUCAGUAGUACAGUGCGUCUCCCCAGAAAAAGGUUCAACCCCAGCACCACACGCACACACACAAAUACACAGUAAAACUACUGCCAACUAGUGGAACAGGAGUGAAACGUUUCUGAAUAUUGGAAACCUUCAGAAAGAAUUUUAAAUCUUAUGUGACUUAGGAAGAAAAAUUUUAAGAUCUCAAAGAAUUCUACAUUCUAAUUGUAAGUUUCUUCAGUUUUGUUUUGUGUGGAGGGGAGCAGAGACAGGGUCUUGCUGUGUGGUCUUAAACUCUCAGCUCUCUCUUGCAUCAGUUUCCCGAGUGUUGGGAUUAAAGGUACUGUACCAUCCCACUUGGCUGUGUUUCUCAAUUUUUGAUCCACUUAAAGGAAUACUGAAAACCCCAAGACAUACUGUAAGUUUGUUUCAUGUAAGAACAAACCCUGGCUGGGGUUACAGCUCAGUGGUAGAGUGCUUGCCUACUGUGCCAGAAAACCUGGGUUCAAUCCUCAGCACUAUGAAAAGAAUUUUUUUUUUUCAAAUAGGAAUAAGCAGACCCUAACUUGCAAAUCCAUUUCAGGUGGGAGCCCUGAGGAUUCAGCUUACCUAUCAGAUGCUAAGCAAGUGAGUAAAUGUCGGUGUCAUGGUUUAUGUCUGUGGCCCCCAGGCCUCAUGAGUUUGCAUUGUGCAUUUGUGAUGGUUCAUGGUCUAGUGCUUGGAGAUGGUGUCAGUGCUCCACCCACAUAGGGGUGGAGCCAGGAUGUGAUGUACUGGCAGGAAGAAGGUGUGUGUUGUUCUUUGCUGGUUUCUGCUUGCUGUUUGCAGCCGCCAUGAACUGUGGCCCACGCAUACCCGCCUGCCUUGAAGCCAACUGAGUGUGGACUGAAACCUCCAAAAACUGAUAUCACGCAUACAGCACUGAGAGUGCCAGCUGGGCAUCUCACCUACUUCCUCAGACUAUUCCCUUGUAAAUAAGGGGAUCGAACUCACGAUGUCACACUUGCCAGACAGGCGCUUAUACCACUGAGCUAAAUCCCUGGCUUGUAAAUUAUAAUUCAAAUAAAAAUAUAUACAUGA